AUUGAACGCUGGCGGCAGGCCUAACACAUGCAAGUCGAGCGGACGAAGGGAGCUUGCUCCUGGAUUCAGCGGCGGACGGGUGAGUAAUGCCUAGGAAUCUGCCUGGUAGUGGGUGAUAACGUCCGGAAACGGGCGCUAAUACCGCAUACGUCCUGAGGGCGUAAGUGGGGGAUCUUCGGACCUCACGCUAUCAGAUGAGCCUAGGUCGGAUUAGCUGGUUGGUGGGGUAAAGGCCUACCAAGGCGACGAUCCGUAACUGGUCUGAGAGGAUGAUCAGUCACACUGGAACUGAGACACGGUCCAGACUCCUACGGGAGGCAGCAGUGGGGAAUAUUGGACAAUGGGCGAAAGCCUGAUCCAGCCAUGCCGCGUGUGUGAAGAAGGUCUUCGGAUUGUAAAGCACUUUAAGUUGGGAGGAAGGGCAGUAAGUUAAUACCUUGCUGUGUUGACGUUACCAACAGAAUAAGCACCGGCUAACUUCGUG
rnacentral:rRNA from 1 species